AGAUGAUGUAUGAUUCUCUGGGUUGCCUGAACACAUUCUUUUCUGGCUUUCCUUGGCUCACUCUUGUGGCUGCAUUUAGCUGAAUGAUUGUGUAAGCAGGCAAAGCUGAAAUGGCUUCAUCCACACCUAUGGCAGUAGGUGCUGAUCCUCAGCUAGGGCCCCCGGUUCUCCUUCACAACGCCUCUUCUCCGGUGGGCUAAACAUUUUCCUUGUGUGGUGAUCUUAAGGAAAAAGCAGAAGCUGUAAAGUCUCGUAAGGCCUAAUCUCAGAAGUUGCAUGACAUCACUUCUUUUGCAUUCUAUUGGUCAAAACAAGUCACAAUAUUGGUCUGAAUUCAAGGGUGGGAGGUAAGUGGUCAUCAGCUCCUGGGGAGAGCAGCAGAGUCACAUUGCAAAAGGGUUACAGGAAUUUUAGGAUUUUUGGAACGGCCUUUUCUACCUCCCUCAGGAUGAUUCCAGCAUGCUACAGAAGAGCCUGAGAACUAAGGUCCCGAAUCUGUUAAAAUGUACUAUAGUGUAUAACCACCCUGGAAAUUCCUGAGCUUCUGGAGGCUGCAUUCUAGCGGGGGUGGAGUCUGAAGUAAAACCUAGUUCACAUAAACCCUUGAAUUUCCAGAUUGGCGUUUCAUUUAUUUAGUUAUUCAUUCACCAAGCAAAUUCCUGACAUUGGAGCUACAGUGGAACUCUAGAGCUAGAGAGAUAACAAGAAGUAAAAAUGGAUAUAAUUGAAUAAAGGAGGUCCUUCCCUUACCCUGAAAAUGGUACAAUCCUAGAGGCUGUCUAUUGUUAGCUACAUGGGUCAGUAAGUUUGUGGCCUUCCAUAUGACGUAGGAAAAGUGAUCUAAAGUUAUCUCCGGUAGCUCAUGAUGUUGUAUUUUGCCUCUGAGGAGAGUUUUUAGUUUAAAAUGAAAUGCUGUUUAAAAUCAGGAUUGCAGAGCUGCUGUUCCAUCAAUUGCCUGAGAUAUCAGCUAGUAAGGGGACACCCAGAGACUUGCCGCGUGGUGUAGCCUUUACUCCUAGAGUCUGCUGGGGCCAAGCGUAUGAUUCAUGUGAGCAAGAGAGUGAACAGACCUUAGGAGAGAAGUUAACAGUUGCCACAGGAUCCCUAGGGAGUGAGGAAGGCUUAGGGAGGAGGUGAAGGAACCAUCUCCGUCCACAGAACAGCAAGUCAGAGGUCCCCAGGGAUGAGAAGAAUCCAGCAAAUGGUCUAGCCCGCCAACAGACAGGCAAAGCCCUGCAACUCUGAAAUAAGAACUGGGCUGUGACACUGCUUCCUCUCUCUCCCUACACUCCAAACCCAGGAGGACUAUCUGAGAAGAAAAAGGAGAAAUUCUGCUCUGGGUAACCCCAGAAGAAGAAUGUGGAAAUAUCACUUGGAGAGAACUGCCAAGGAAGUUCACUCACAGAUUCCUGCAUCCUCUGGCACAGUGCUGCAUGACUUUGAGCUGACCUUGAAAUUUAUGGUCUGGCACAAAUAGUCAUUAAACUGGGAACAGCUUGUGCAAUGCCUUGAUAACAAAUGGUACCCAGCAAUGUGUUAGCCGUGGAAAGAAAUAAAAAUAUCCAAUUUAGUUUUAAUUCUGGAAUGGAGAAUGGACUGUGAUUUUGAGAUGCAGUCGCAAAGUUGAAUGCCAAUUCUGAGGAACAGGAUAAUGUUUAUGAUCUUCUAAGUGUACUUAAAUUGGAGACUAGUAAUAGGCUGUUCUGAUUGAGCUACGAACAGCUGGCAGGCAUGAGAGUUGUGCACUAACCUUCAUCAGGUCUCUUGUUGUAAAUUUAUGAAUUGGUCCCUUUUUCCUCAGCUCUGUGGAGCAAAGGGAAAGGAACUUAUGCUUAUCUAAUGUAUGAAUGAGACACCACACCCUCUUAAUGGCAGCGUAUCUCAGCUUUUGCGUAGUUUACACCUCUGUUACACAAAGAGUCAUAAAAUUUAAACUGGACCCAAGGUAGCACAAGUUAAUUUUUAUCUCAUGAGUUCCCUGAAAAAGUCUAGGCUAUUGUAUGAUUUAGUAUUUGGGUAAUAAGGAUUUUUCCACAGGAUGUCAUAUUGUAUAUGAAAUUUUGGUAAGUAAAUUACUAAUAUUACAUACAAAAAUGAAGCUUUAAGUUUGUCUACAUGGCAUGAAUAAUAUUGACCUAUUAAAAGGAAAAAAAAACUGGCUUAUUAGCUGUACCUGAGAAGGAUAUGCCAGGUGAAUCUGUCUUACCCACAGGCCCUGGCAAAGGGAUAGCACUGGGUCAUUACUUACACACGUGUAGCAGCUGAUUACCUGCAGUAUGUACCCAACUCCAGGUCAGGCCCUCUAUGGUUGGUUGUGUGGACUGGAAAGAAUAGUUGAGCGGGAUCAAUUAGAUUCCCUCUUUCCAGCAUUCUCACUGAAAUGUGGGAACAAAUUGGCCAGGUGGGAUCUGAAAGAGACAGAGUCAUGGAUGGGCAGAAUGUAGUUGAGUCUCUUGGUGAUCUAAAUCAGGGAGAAGAGCUAUGAAUUCCUGCUACUCAGGUCUCUAGAGCCACUUUAUGUCUAGAAGUGACUUCUACUUCCAAAUUCCAGCUUUUGUGCUUGGACUUUGGAGAGGUUUCUAAAAGGUCUUGAAAAAUAUUCUGGCAGAGACUAUCCACCACGAAAGUGAGGACAGAAAAGUGAAAGGAAAUACUUUGAUGUCUACCAUUUUCACUUUUUACAGAACUGCAGUACUCCGUAAAGGAAUCUUAGAUUUUAUCUGACUCAGUGUAUCUAAAGUGUAGAUCCAUUCGUAUGGCUUUCCAAGAACCAGUCUAUAAAUCAUAAGAUGGAUUCCCAUAACCUACUUCCCUAGAUUCAGCACCUCCUGAGUGGUUCCUAGGACUCUCUUUUUAGAGAGCCUCCAGGCAAUUCUAAUGUCUUGGACUAGCCAGGUUUGGGUCCUGAUAUUGCUAACUCUCUCAUUUUGUAGAUUAGAAAAUUGAGGCACAAUGUCUUCACAUGUCAAACCCUAAAUUGCACAAUUAAUAUAUGGAAGAACCUGAAAAAGACUAAUAUCCUCUUGUUUCAAGUGUGUUUUCUAAUCCACCAGUUUGUUUUUUUACAGAACUUUGGAAUCCUUAAUUGCAGAAUUGACUUUACUAAUUCACAAGGACAAGUAUAUUGGAGUUUACUGGGCCAUCGGUAUACUUUUCUAUUCUACUAUUACCCUAGUCUUUAUCAAUACUGAAAAUAAAUAGAAAACACAAGGGGCGAUAUAUUCUCAAAGAAAUGCUAGAAAAAAAUUACUAUUAUCCUCAGUAAAGUUUGUCACACAAGGAAAGUAUAGAGAAGGACCUAGAAAAGACAGAGUAUGUGCUAUGAAUGUUGAAUUAUGUGUCAAAUUUAUAAAGAAAUUAUAGAUUUAAAAAUAGUUUUGUAAAGAGAAUAUUAUCAAAUGAAUAUAAAACUAUUAAAAAACAAUUGAACAUAAAACAAAGGUUCUACAAUUGAACCUAAAACAAAGUUAAGCUAUGAAGUUAAUUUUAAAACCAUAGUAAAAUAUUUACGUUGGUAAUAUUCAUUAAGUAAGCAUCUUAUUAGUUUCUCUUUCAUGUUAUUUCUGUAAUUGUUUUUAACCUAAGGAUAUUGUUUACUUUUUUUAAGGGCUUAUCAUCACAGCUAUCUGGCCUAUACACUAAAUCUUUUCUUUAAAUGUUUUGAUGCGUUUUUUUUUUUUACUGUGCUGUUUUCCUUUGCCAGCUAGGUUUAAGUGAUUCUGUAGAUGCAGUCUGGUCUCUACUUUGCAGAUAACCUUGAUGCAGGCUUAUUGAAGCAUAGAAAAAAAAUGCACAUUUAAAUGUAACUACAAAAGUUUAACAUUGACAUAAGGAAAAAGCAAGUGUAUUAAUGUGUCCAUUGAAAGUCUCUGUUACUGGGCUCAUCAAAGAAUUUUUGCAUGGUCUUUGAAAGAGUUACAAG
rnacentral:lncRNA from 10 species